CUGAAGCGCUCCGCGUGUCCGUACACGGUCUGCAAGACGGCCUGCAAGCCAUGCCCAACCAUCGCCGUAGCUUGGAUGCCAAAGAGCACGUCGACUGCUAGUGCGAUGCUCAUGAAGUCGUCCCAUUGAACGGAGGUCGUAGCUCGAUGAUAAGCUCAGUUAGGUGAAAAAUGAGACCCCCAGAACAUAUCAAACCUUCUCCCAAUGCCGUAAUCACCUGCCAAGCCCCUGCCUCGCCGUGAUCCACGUCGGAGCAUAUCCAUUUGCGGCAACCGCACUAGCCCGCCUAUGAAAAGGGCCCUUAGAUGCCCUUCGAGCCUGCACCACUCCACCAAAGAUCCUAGCUCCACCCAAAGCACCGUAGAAGGCCUAGGGGAGGUCUUCUUCCCUAGAUACGGUCGCCCGAUCCGCCUCGGGUCCGGGCUAAAUUCGCCCAAAGUGUUCAAUACCUUCUGCUCUAACCUCGCCCAUGGUCGCGUGGUAGGUCAUCCUCUCUGAUAUGUGUGUCAAUUUGAUGUGUGCGGGUAUUUGCGGUGAGCUCCAUCCCCGUCCGAAGUCGGUGAUCACUAGAGAGGAAGCUCCCGAAGAUAAGGUGUGCGCCGGUGAUCAAGUCCUCCACCCAUCGAUGCACAAUAGUCCCCUGAGCAAGCCUAAGCCAUUCCCAUCCUCGGAGUCGCCGCCAAUCGACGCGGGUGACCACCGCGAGCUCUUUGCUGCAGAUACCGAAGGAGAAGACACUGUCAUCCAUUGCACCGAGUCCACUUCCGACUUUGUUGAUCCAG